rnacentral:rRNA from 1 species
GACGUAGGGUGCGAGCGUUGUCCGGAUUUAUUGGGCGUAAAGAGCUCGUAGGCGGCUCGUCGCGUCGACCGUGAAAACCCGCAGCUUAACUGCGGGCUUGCGGUCGAUACGGGCAGGCUAGAGUUCGGUAGGGGAGACUGGAAUUCCUGGUGUAGCGGUGAAAUGCGCAGAUAUCAGGAGGAACACCGGUGGCGAAGGCGGGUCUCUGGGCCGAUACUGACGCUGAGGAGCGAAAGCGUGGGGAGCGAACAGG